UUAUUGCUGGAGAAUACGCGUAG
rnacentral:miRNA from 1 species